rnacentral:rRNA from 1 species
CCUACGGGUGGCUGCAGUGGGGAAUAUUGCACAAUGGAGGGAACUCUGAUGCAGCGACGCCGCGUGAGUGAAGAAGUAUUUAUGUAUUUAAAGCUCUAUCAGCAGGGAGGAAGAUGACGGUACCUGACUAAGAAUCCCCGGCUAACUACGUGCCGGCAGCCGCGGUAAUACGUCGGGGGCAAGCGUAAUCCGGAUUUACUGGGUGUAAAGGGGGCGUAGACGGCUGGGCAAGUCUGGAGUGAAAGCCCGGGGCACAACCCCGGGACUGCUUGGGAAACUGUCGUGCUAGAGAGCUGGAGGGGUAGGCGGAAUGCAUGGUGUAGCGGUGAAAUGCGUAGAGAUUAGGAAGAACACCAGUGGCGAAGGCAGCUUACUGGACAGUAACUGACGUUGAGGCUCGAAAGCGUGGGGAGCAAACAGGAUUAGAUACCCGUGUAGUC